UCGUGUUGGUAGCUAGAAAUGAAGCAUUAAGAUCAAACAAAUGGUAAAGUAUAAUUCACAAUAGGCAUUAUUACGUACACCAGUUUUUUUUAGAUGAAAUGAGAGAUGUGACGCCACGAAGUGGUGAUGACGCAACAGAAGAACCCACUUCAACAUGGUAUGUGACGUCACAGCGGAUCAAGCGGUUAUGACACGAAAGACGAAUGAAGUUGCAGAAAAGUCAGCAAAUAAAGCUGCCGAAGGAAAGCGUCAGACGAAGAACAAAGACGAAGACGCCGAUAAAGGAUACACGGUUUGAGGUUUGAGUAUUAUAAGUAUGAGUUUUGUGUUGUAUGUGUGUCCGCCUGUGCUGCUGUCUCCUUAUUCUGCUGGACCUAAUGUUGCCAGCUAUUUUUAGUCAGUCACCACUUUAGUGCAUUUCGCAUAUGAAAUAUAUGCAAUCAAAAUAUGGGGAACAUCUUGUUGGAUCAGAUUUUCUUGUUGUACACUCUAUUGGGUACCUCGUCUACAAAGGUCGAAUCCUUCAGCGAUUCUGUAUUGUCCUGAUCGAUUGGUGAGAACGAUAUGUUGGUACACAAAUACUCGAGUAAUAUCAGCACGCAGUAUAAUAUGCGCAUAAUUAAAGUCCAUUGUUUUACAUUUCAUAUAACUCCCUCGCCCCGAUAAAAUAAAGCCACUAACUUUUUAUAUUCAAACGUCAUGUAGCG